CCCUUAGAUGUUCUGGGCUGCACGCGCGCUACACUGAUGCGAUCAACAAGUUUUUCCUAUGUCGAUAGACACGGGUAAUCUUUUGAACUCGCAUCGUGAUGGGGAUAGAUUAUUGUAAUUAUUAAUCUUCAACGAGGAAUUCCUAGUAGGUGCAAAUCAUCAGUUUGCAUCGAUUACGUCCCUGCCCUUUGUACACACCGCCCGUCGCUGCUACCGAUUGGUUGAUCCGGUGAAUAAUUCGGACUGCGGCAUUGACCGGUUCCCGAUCGUUGCUGCGGAAAGUUUAGUGAACCUUAUCACUUAGAGGAAGGAGAAGUCGUAACA
rnacentral:rRNA from 1 species